rnacentral:rRNA from 1 species
CGUGCCUAAUACAUGCAAGUCGAGCGAAUCCUUGGGAGCUUGCUCCCAUUGGUUAGCGGCGGACGGGUGAGUAACACGUGGGCAACCUGCCUGUAAGACUGGGAUAACUUCGGGAAACCGGAGCUAAUACCGGAUAAUUCUUUUCCUCUCAUGAGGAAAAGCUGAAAGUCGGUUUCGGCUGUCACUUACAGAUGGGCCCGCGGCGCAUUAGCUAGUUGGUGAGGUAACGGCUCACCAAGGCGACGAUGCGUAGCCGACCUGAGAGGGUGAUCGGCCACACUGGGACUGAGACACGGCCCAGACUCCUACGGGAGGCAGCAGUAGGGAAUCUUCCACAAUGGACGAAAGUCUGAUGGAGCAACGCCGCGUGAGCGAUGAAGGCCUUCGGGUCGUAAAGCUCUGUUGUUGGGGAAGAACAAGUACCGGAGUAACUGCCGGUACCUUGACGGUACCUAACCAGAAAGCCACGGCUAACUACGUGCCAGCAGCCGCGGUAAUACGUAGGUGGCAAGCGUUGUCCGGAAUUAUUGGGCGUAAAGCGCGCGCAGGCGGUCCUUUAAGUCUGAUGUGAAAGCCCACGGCUCAACCGUGGAGGGUCAUUGGAAACUGGGGGACUUGAGUGCAGAAGAGGAAAGCGGAAUUCCACGUGUAGCGGUGAAAUGCGUAGAGAUGUGGAGGAACACCAGUGGCGAAGGCGGCUUUCUGGUCUGUAACUGACGCUGAGGCGCGAAAGCGUGGGGAGCAAACAGGAUUAGAUACCCUGGUAGUCCACGCCGUAAACGAUGAGUGCUAAGUGUUAGGGGGUUUCCGCCCCUUAGUGCUGCAGCUAACGCAUUAAGCACUCCGCCUGGGGAGUACGGCCGCAA